rnacentral:rRNA from 1 species
GACGAACGCUGGCGGCGUGCUUAACACAUGCAAGUCGAGCGGGGCCCAACCGGUGGCAACACCGGGGAAGGCCCAGCGGCGAACGGGUGAGUAACACGUGAGCAACCUGCCCCGAAGUUCGGGAUAACACCGGGAAACCGGUGCUAAUACCGGAUUGCCUCGUCGGACCGCAUGAUCUGAUGAGGAAAGAACUUCGCUUCGGGAGGGGCUCGCGGGCUAUCAGCUUGUUGGUGAGGUAACGGCUCACCAAGGCGACGACGGCUAGCUGGUCUGAGAG